CUUGCCUACGGGACGCAGCAGUGGGGAAUAUUGCACAAUGGGGGGAACCCUGAUGCAGCGACGCCGCGUGGGUGAGGAAGUACUUCGGUAUGUAAAGCCCUAUCAGCAGGGAAGAAAAUGACGGUACCUGGCUAAGAAGCCCCGGCUAACUACGUGCCAGCAGCCGCGGUAAUACGUAGGGGGCAAGCGUUAUCCGGAUUUACUGGGUGUAAAGGGAGCGUAGACGGCGCGGCAAGUCUGAAGUGAAAGGCAGGGGCUUAACCCCUGAACUGCUUUGGAAACUGCCAUGCUAGAGUGCUGGAGAG
rnacentral:rRNA from 1 species